AAUAGAGAUUUAUAUCAUCUAUCUCCAUUCAUUCAUAUGGAUGCCCUAACUACCUUUUUUGCUACCAAAACUUCUUUUUUAUUCUUUUUUUUAUAAGAUUUAUACAAUAUAUGCCUUAAACACCAUAUAAAAGAAACAAAAUAAGAUUUUAAGGGUCACCAAUAACUAACAAAGGUGACUCUAAAUAUUUAAAAGUUACUACUAAUAAGAUCAACUUCAAAGUCACUA
rnacentral:lncRNA from 1 species